CCAGACUCCUACGGGAGGCAGCAGUGGGGGAUAUUGCACAAUGGGGGGAACCCUGAUGCAGCAACGCCGCGUGAAGGAAGAAGGGUUUCGGCUCGUAAACUUCUAUCAACAGGGACGAAAGAAAUGACGGUACCUGAAUAAGAAGCCCCGGCUAACUACGUGCCAGCAGCCGCGGUAAUACGUAGGGUGCGAGCGUUAAUCGGAAUUACUGGGCGUAAAGCGCUCGUAGGCGGUAUGUCAAGUCAAGGGUGAAAUCCCCGCGCUCAACGUGGGAACUGCCUUUGAAACUGGCAAACUGGAGUGUGUGAGAGGAUAGUGGAAUUCCAGGUGUAGGAGUGAAAUCCGUAGAUAUCUGGAGGAACAUCAGUGGCGAAGGCGACUAUCUGGCACAUAACUGACGCUGAGGAGCGAAAGCGUGGGUAGCAAACAGGAUUAGAUACCCCCGUAGUC
rnacentral:rRNA from 1 species